GAUGAACGCUAGCGGCAGGCCUAAUACAUGCAAGACGAACGGUAAGAUUUUUAGCAAUAAGAGUCCUAGAGUGUCGUAAGGGUGCGUAACACGUAUGCAAUCUGCCCUCAACAGGAGGAUAGCUCACCGAAAGGGGAAUUAACACUCCAUAAGAUCACAUAAUGGCAUCAUUGAGUGAUUAAAACUACGGCGGGUGAGGAUGAGCAUGGGCAUGAUUAGUUAGUUGGCGGGGUAACGGCCCACCAAGACGAUGAGCAUUAGGGGAACUGGGAGGUUGAUCCCCCACACUGGCACUGAGAUACGGGCCAGACUCCUACGGGAGGCAGCAGUAGGGAAUAUUGGACAAUGGGUGCGAGCCUGAUCCAGCCAUGCCGCGUGCAGGAAGACGGCCUUCUGGGUUGUAAACUGCUUUUGCCAGGGGAUAAAACGUUCCUGCGGGGAUAAUUGAAGGUACCUGGUGAAUAAGCCACGGCUAACUACGUGCCAGCCGCCGCGGUAA
rnacentral:rRNA from 1 species